GUGGGAUUGGAGGGGGCGGCGGAGGGGGGUGGAGGAGGAGGAGGUGAAGGGAAGGUGGCCGGAGAGCGGAGGAGGCACCGUCGGCUGCUGGGCUGGGAUCAUGUCUUUAUUGAUUGUUAUGCAAACGAGCUGGGGUGACUGACGGGCCCCGUCUCUCCCCGCAGCGUGUGUUGUGUGGUGUCUUUUGAACACAACAAAACAAAAAACCCUCGCACGCACAGACAGUCCUCUCUCUCGCGCGCGCGGAUCCUCUUUCCCUCCUUCUGCGUAGACUUUUCCCCCGAAAUGACUUUCUUUCUUUCAGUUGCGACGGUUCCCGGGGAGGACGACGACGACGACGACGAUGCAAAGGAAGAGGCUGCCUGAGAAGACUUCGCCGUGUGCCGAGAUGCCCCCCCAAGAGGAUUAGAGGGCAGCGCUUCCCCCCCUUCCCUCCCCCUGACCCCCCGGGCUACCCAGCACCCGGCCCGGCCCCCCCGACGGCUCCCGUGGCCCUCCUCCCCGCCCUG